AAACGUUCGCUAAUCAAACACUAAUCAACAAGUUGCCAAGGAACGUCCUUGGGGCAUUGUAGCAUCGAACAACUGUUGACUGCAUUAAGACUUAGAGAAACCCAAUUCUAUCCUUGCCAACCGCGUGGUCAAGUUUAGAUUAUGCAAUUUGAUUAAAUGUGUAUUUGAACAACCUAAGCAAUUACGGACCUAAAUCAUUCAAACAGUAUUACUUAAGCAAUUUAAAAGCAAUGGGCCCUUAUUGAUUCUAAAAGCAAAGUAAUAAUUAUGGAAAGCUCAAAUUGCAUAAAUAUUGAAAAUAAAUAGAAGUUUAACAAUGGAGAUUUAAAUCUCCCAAUUCAUC
rnacentral:lncRNA from 1 species